AGAUUUCUCUGCACCUGCUGGCUCCUGCUGCUCGCAUCUCUCCGCCCUGAGAAGUGGAUCUCUCUCAUUUCUCAGGCCAAUAUCCGGUCUGAUCUGUGAUCAGGAUAAUGAAUUUUCUGCAGCGGUAUACUAGUGCUACCCACAACGUGGUGACUGAACAAGUUCCUGUACAUGAACCUCCUGCAGACUCGCGUUAUGCCUCAAAACCAUCAGCAACUUUGGAGGGUCUUAUAGCUGAAGAUCCAUUCCUCCAGUCUCCUCCAGCUGAAGGUCAUGGUGGAGAGGCUCAGGCAACUGGAGAUGAAAAUGGCACUGUUGGUGGUGUGAGCUCAAAGAAUUACUCUUUUGCAAUGGAGAACCACUUAGAUGUUUCUGAAGGAGAAGGAUGGAUCACUAUUCCACAUGGGGAACUUCCUGAUGGUUGGAAUAAUGCUCCGGAUAUACGUUCAUUACGCUCCCUGGAUCGGUCAUUUGUUUUCCCUGGUGAGCAAGUUCAUAUCCUGUCAUGUUUGUCAGCAUAUAAGCAAGAUACAGAAAUUAUUACUCCAUUUAAAGUUGCUGCAGUCAUGUCUAAAAAUGGCAUUGGACAAGACCCUGAAAAACAAAAUGGGAAUGCAAAAGAAGGAACAAGUUCGGUAUCUGGAGAAGGUGAAGUGAGUACUGAUGGUCAAGUUAUAGACCAAAAUGGCAAUGAGCCAUCAAAAAAGGAGAUUGAUCUACAAAAGGAUAUUUCUGCCAGUGAAUCCAUUCUCAGAAUGGAAGAUCACAAAAGACAAACUGAAAUGUUAUUGCAAAGAUUUAGGAACUCUCACUUUUUUGUUAGGAUUGCAGAGUCAGGGGAGCCACUUUGGUCAAAAAAAGGUGCGUCUGAUCCGAAAUCUUCUGAACUGGAUGAUCAGAACUCCAGUGAAAAUGAAAAAAAAACUGCAAAUAACAUGUCCCAACUUGGUGCUCUUAUUGAUAGAGGAGAU
rnacentral:misc_RNA from 1 species